UACGUAGGGGGCUAGCGUUGUCCGGAAUCAUUGGGCGUAAAGCGCGCGUAGGCGGCCCGAUAAGUCUGCUGUGAAAGUCCAGGGCUCAACCCUGGAAUGCCGGUGGAUACUGUCGGGCUAGAGUUCGGAAGAGGCAAGUGGAAUUCCUGGUGUAGCGGUGGAAUGCGCAGAUAUCAGGAGGAACACCUAUAGCGAAGGCAGCUUGCUGGGACGUUACUGACGCUAAGGCGCGAAAAGCGUGGGGAGCGAACAGG
rnacentral:rRNA from 1 species